rnacentral:sRNA from 1 species
AUGCUUUAUGUCACCAUUAAAUGUAAGGCAGCUUGCAAAGUUUUAAGUUCAUUUGUCCAUCGACAUUGAAUUAUAUGUAUGCCAUUGUAUAAAUAAAUGGACAAAUAUCUACAGGAAAACUUAAUUUUCCCCUUGGCCCCUAAAAAUAUAUAAAUGAGAUCCAAGAAAAUGAGAAAUUUCAUUUUUAAUUUUAAAAAAUGUGAAAUUUUGAAUUGGGUGAAGUUCUAAAUUUAUUUAUUCACAUUUAUAAAAAUAGAAAAAAAAAAAAUUAGCGUGUUUAGCACGUGUCGAUCACUAGUAUUUUGUUCUUGUGUCAUAAAAAUGCCCAGAUGUAUGAAAAUCAUGGAUAUUAACUUCAUAAAGAAAAAGUCUGGCUGUCAGAUUACAAUGCAUCUUUUACUACAGCUACGUUACCGCGAAUCUCGGGUUUCUUCACUCUCUUUUUGUCAAAUUCUGUACAUUUUAUGCCCACUGGAUGUGGUAGUACACAGAGAAAUGUUAGCUGCUUCAUCUAUAUAAGCUGAUUUAGAGGUCCUUGCAUUAUCAUCAGCACUGAGCUUUGAAGAGUAUAGUGGUAAGUCACAAUAUUACCUAGAGUUGUUCUGAAACAGUGCUGUUGGUUUCUUUUAAAAAAUAUAAUUUUCCCCUUUCUAGACAGAAGAGUCAAAAAGAGCUUUGGCCCUACUUGACUAAGCAGAGUAGCUAGAACUGAAUUCUUAUUAGUUUCAUAGCUAUAAACUAUAAUUGUGUUUACCUAUGAGGCCUUUGCAAGUAUUUAUCUCAAAAAUGAAGCUCGAGUUCAUAUUAAAAAAAAUGAAGCUCGAGUUUGUUGAGGAAGAAAAAAAUGUGUAGGAAUAGAGAUGUAUUUUUCAUUUUUUGGAUAAUUUCAGUUUUGAUAUCACUUAAUUAUAUGACCUGUUGUUUGAUGUAAUUAUGUCUAAAUUAGUUCAUUUUCAUUCCCAUCUUAUUGUGCAGAAGUUAUUAGUUGGAUUUAAGAAGGAAUGGGAGCGGAAGUUGAUCAUAUUUCCCUCACUGGAAUGAGUGGAGGCUCAGCUGAAGGGAAUGACAAGGGCGAGGGGCAGCACUUUUCCUGCAAAAACAAGCUGACAGCUUUUUUCCCAUUUGAAGAUUUCGCCUUAGGCCUCUGAAACUCUUGGGCCGGCCUUAUCAUAAUGGAGGAGUAUGCCGAAUCAUACAGAAGGGACUCCUAUGUUCCUAUGGUGUAGAAACAGAAGCUGUGGAGACUGGGGAGGCUGCAGUGGAGCUCAUUGCUUUUGGAGCAACUUUCAAUCUCAUUAUCAUUGAGAUGCUUCUGCCUGUCCUGAAUCGCCCUGAGGUAUAUAUUACAUAUUUCUAUUUUAUCUUAUUAGCUAAAGGGCCAAGCUUAAUUAAUUAUCUAGUUAUUCAUAAUCAACUUGUUAUAAUAAGUAUCUUUUGAUACGUCAAGAGUUUUGUAACUCAAUUAGAUCCCCUGGUAUUUUUAAUGCAGUAGUCCAGGUUCAAAUGCUCCCUCCCAUGUUAUUCUAGAAAAAAAUAAUAUAGUGUUAUACUCAUGCUACUUCCUUCUUCAUGUACAAUUUAACUUUCGAUUUAUUGUACUUUAGCCAAAAAGAUAAUAAUAUCUUGUUCCAUCUUAUAUGUUAGAUUGCUAGGCAGAUUUGUGCCAUGGGUACCCAAAGCAAGAUUUUGGGGAUCAUUGCAUUUUUUGAUGAAAGGGACCAACAAGAAUUUCUUGCUGCUGGAGUAGACGAGUUCAUUGAAAAGCCAUUGUCACCAGAAAUUGUGAUCACUAUCAUAAGGGGGCUCGACAACUAG